CCUACGGGGAGCAGCAGUGGGGAAUAUUGCGCAAUGGGCGAAAGCCUGACGCAGCGACGCCGCGUGAGGGAUGAAGGUCUUCGGAUCGUAAACCUCUGUCAGCAGGGAAGAACGGUCACUGUGCUAAUCAGCAGUGAAGUGACGGUACCGGCAAAGGAAGCACCGGCUAACCCCGGGCCAGCAGACGGGGUAAUACGGAGGGUGCGAGCGUUAAUCGGAAUUAGUGGGCGUAAAGCGCGCGUAGGCGGUAUGUCAAGUCAAGGGUGAAAUCCCCGCGCUCAACGUGGGAACUGCCUUUGAAACUGGCAAACUGCAGUGUGUGAGAGGAUAGUGGAAUUCCAGGUGUAGGAGUGAAAUCCGUAGAUAUCUGGAGGAACAUCCGUGGCGAAGGCGACUAUCUGGCACAUAACUGACGCUGCGGCGCGAAAGCGUGGGUAGCAAACAGGAUUAGAUACCCGGGUAGUC
rnacentral:rRNA from 1 species